rnacentral:rRNA from 1 species
UACAGAGGGGGCAAGCGUUGUUCGGAAUUACUGGGCGUAAAGGGCGCGUAGGUGGCCUGUUAAGUCGAACGUGAAAUCCCCGGGCUCAACCCGGGAACUGCGUCCGAUACUGGCAGGCUUGAAUUCGGGAGAGGGAUGCGGAAUUCCAGGUGUAGCGGUGAAAUGCGUAGAUAUCUGGAGGAACACCGGUGGCGAAGGCGGCAUCCUGGACCGAGAUUGACGCUGAUGCGCGAAAGCCAGGGGAGCAAACGGG